GACGAACGCUGGCGGCGUGCUUAACACAUGCAAGUCGAACGGAAAGGCCCUGCUUUUGUGGGGUGCUCGAGUGGCGAACGGGUGAGUAACACGUGAGUAACCUGCCCUUGACUUUGGGAUAACUUCAGGAAACUGGGGCUAAUACCGGAUAGGAGCUCCUGCUGCAUGGUGGGGGUUGGAAAGUUUCGGCGGUUGGGGAUGGACUCGCGGCUUAUCAGCUUGUUGGUGGGGUAGUGGCUUACCAAGGCUUUGACGGGUAGCCGGCAUGGGAGGGUGACCGGCCACAUGGGGACUGAGAGACGGCCCAGACUCCUACGGGAGGCAGCAGUGGGGAGUAUUGCACAAUGGGAGGAAGCCUGAUGCAGCAACGCCGCGUGCGGGAUGACGGCCUUCGGGUUGUGAACCGCUUUCGCCUGUGACGAAGCGUGAGUGACGGUAAUGGGUAAAGAAGCACCGGCUAACUACGUG
rnacentral:rRNA from 1 species